GAUGAACGCUAGCGGGAGGCUUAAUACAUGCAAGUCGAACGGUAACAGCAGAGCUUGCUCUGGCUGACGAGUGGCGCACGGGUGAGUAACGCGUACACAAUCUACCUUCAAGACUGGGAUAGCCCUGGGAAACUGGGAUUAAUACCGGAUGUGCUUAUGUUAUCGCAUGGUAAUAUAAGUAAAGGAUUUAUUGCUUGAAGAUGAGUGUGCGUGCUAUUAGCUAGUUGGUGAGGUAACGGCUCACCAAGGCGACGAUAGCUAGGGGGCGUGAGAGCGUGGACCCCCACACGGGUACUGAGACACGGACCCGACUCCUACGGGAGGCAGCAGUAAGGAAUAUUGGACAAUGGGAGAGAUCCUGAUCCAGCCAUCCCGCGUGCAGGAUUGACGGCCCUAUGGGUUGUAAACUGCUUUUAUGUAGGAAGAAAAGCUUGAAUUUAUUCGAGUCUGACGGUACUACAGGAAUAAGCACCGGCUAACUCCG
rnacentral:rRNA from 1 species